AUUGAACGCUGGCGGCAGGCCUAACACAUGCAAGUCGAACGGUAGCACAGAGAGCUUGCUCUCGGGUGACGAGUGGCGGACGGGUGAGUAAUGUCUGGGAAACUGCCCGAUGGAGGGGGAUAACUACUGGAAACGGUAGCUAAUACCGCAUAACGUCGCAAGACCAAAGUGGGGACCUUCGGGCCUCACACCAUCGGAUGUGCCCAGAUGGGAUUAGCUAGUAGGUGGGGUAAUGGCUCACCUAGGCGACGAUCCCUAGCUGGUCUGAGAGGAUGACCAGCCACACUGGAACUGAGACACGGUCCAGACUCCUACGGGAGGCAGCAGUGGGGAAUAUUGCACAAUGGGCGCAAGCCUGAUGCAGCCAUGCCGCGUGUAUGAAGAAGGCCUUCGGGUUGUAAAGUACUUUCAGCGGGGAGGAAGGCGGUGGAGUUAAUAACUUCACCGAUUGACGUUACCCGCAGAAGAAGCACCGGCUAACUCCGUGCCAGCAGCCGCCGUAA
rnacentral:rRNA from 1 species